AAAACAAACAGAAGAAGAAGAGGAAGGCGGCACAGCUGCAACUAAUUAACUUGACAAUGAAACUAGCAUCACUAGUGUGGAUAUUUAUCAUUGUUUGAGAGGAUAACAUGACAGCAGCUUGCAGAAUGUGCCUCAAGUAUUCAGGAAGAAGUCCUCAAGUCACCUGAAAACAAGAAAUACAAAGCAGCAGAAGUCGCAGAUAGCAUUAGCACCGAAAAAAGGUUGCCCAGUGGAAGCUCCUCCCCUUUUACCCACCAUGCCAGACCUCCUUCCUCUGGAUCUGCAGACCGUUUCCCAGACUCUGAUCCAGACUACAGUCCUGAGCAAAGCACUUCAUCGGGUCAGAGG